rnacentral:rRNA from 1 species
UCCCAGACUCCUACGGGAGGCAGCAGUGGGGGAUAUUGCACAAUGGGGGGAACCCUGAUGCAGCGACGCCGCGUGGGUGAAGGAGUAUUUCGGUAUGUAAAGCCCUAUCGGCAGGGAAGAAGCAAGACGGUACCUGACUAAGAAGCCCCGGCUAACUACGUGCCAGCAGCCGCGGUAAUACGUAGGGGGCAAGCGUUAUCCGGAUUUACUGGGUGUAAAGGGGGCGCAGACGGCGAUGCAAGCCAGGAGUGAAAGCCCGGGGCCCAACCCCGGGACUGCUCUUGGAACUGCGUGGCUGGAGUGCAGGAGGGGCAGGCGGAAUUCCUGGUGUAGCGGUGAAAUGCGUAGAUAUCAGGAGGAACACCGGUGGCGAAGGCGGCCUGCUGGACUGCAACUGACGUUGAGGCCCGAAAGCGUGGGGAGCAAACAGGAUUAGAUACCCCAGUA